UACGGAGGGAGCUAGCGUUGUUCGGAAUUACUGGGCGUAAAGCGCACGUAGGCGGCUUUGUAAGUUAGAGGUGAAAGCCUGGGGCUCAACCCCAGAAUUGCCUUUAAGACUGCAUCGCUUGAAUCCGGGAGAGGUGAGUGGAACUCCGAGUGUAGAGGUGAAAUUCGUAGAUAUUCGGAAGAACACCAGUGGCGAAGGCGGCUCACUGGACCGGUAUUGACGCUGAGGUGCGAAAGCGUGGGGAGCAAACAGG
rnacentral:rRNA from 1 species